rnacentral:rRNA from 1 species
UACGGAGGGGGCUAGCGUUGUUCGGAAUUACUGGGCGUAAAGGGCGCGUAGGCGGCCUGUUAAGUCGAACGUGAAAUCCCCGGGCUCAACCCGGGAACUGCGUCCGAUACUGGCAGGCUUGAAUUCGGGAGAGGGAUGUGGAAUUCCAGGUGUAGCGGUGAAAUGCGUAGAUAUCUGGAGGAACACCGGUGGCGAAGGCGGCAUCCUGGACCGAUAUUGACGCUGAUGCGCGAAAGCCAGGGGAGCAAACGGG